rnacentral:rRNA from 1 species
UACAGAGACUGCGAGCGUUAUUCGGAUUCACUGGGCGUAAAGGGCGCGUAGGCGGCCUGCUAAGUCAGACGUGAAAUCCCCCGGCUUAACCUGGGAACUGCGUCUGAUACUGGGAGGCUUGAGUAUGGGAGAGGGAUGUAGAAUUCCAGGUGUAGCGGUGAAAUGCGUAGAUAUCUGGAGGAAUACCGGUGGCGAAGGCGGCAUCCUGGACCAUAACUGACGCUGAGGCGCGAAAGCUAGGGGAGCAAACGGG